UCCGCAGUGGUCCAGUGGUUAGGAUUGCGGCCUCUCACGCCGCCGGCCCGAGUUCAAUUCUCGGCUGCGGAA